GUGAGUUGAGUUUCUUAAAAUUGUAUUUCUUUAAAAACACCCGUGAAUACUGUAGUAGUUGAAACUAGAAAUGGUCCCCCAUUGUCUUGAGCAUUUGACAAUUGAUCUUCCCCUAGUCGGUUGUGCUGUUUCGGGAGGUUCAGGUGACACAACCUUGCUGGAGGAAGUUACGUCACUGGGGGCGGGCUCUGAGAGUAAACAGUCUCCGCCACUUCCGGUUCAUUCUCCCUGCCCUGUGCGUAACCAUUCGAGACCUGAACUCUCAGCAUCCAGUUCCUGAGGCCAUGCUUGCUGUUUGCUGCCACUUCUUCCCACCAUAGGACUCUCGUAGGUCGCCCUUGGGCUAUUGGUUCUAUCCCACUUUGAGUAGUGAUAGAAGAAGACUUUGAAUCUGUCACUUCUUCCCCCGGGGCUGGUGAUAACUGGGUGACCAGAAGUCACAAAGGAAGAUGGAAAGCGCCCAAUGGCAGUCUCCAGCUCCUGCACUGAGAGGUUGCUGGACCUGUCUUACUUGGGGGACACUUUGAGAGAGGAGGGAGUGGGGGCACAGACCAGAUAUGUUAACUAGGAGACACUGAGGCCACUGGUCCACACAAGGAGCACAUUCGAGACAGCCAAGUGCUAGACAAACCUGACAGCAGCCAAUAACAGCAGCUGACACUUCUUAACUAGAAACAACCACUGUGCUGCCGAAACUGUACCUGUGUUUUAUACGGUCAUCUGUUUAAUCUCUUCCUUAGAAUUCAUGAAGGGAGAAGACAGCCUUGUACAAAGUAAGUAAUGAGGGAAGUCAUGCGGCCUGUAAGAAGUAGUUAAACUUCAAACCCAUGUCCUUUCGACUGUUUUGAUGACUUUGUAAAUGCCGACUUGGGUGACAUAGAAUCUACUGAGGAGAGAGGGAUUGCCUAGAUUAGGUUGGACUCUGGGCAGGUCCUGGGGAUUGUCUUGUUUGUUAACUGGUGUUGACAGACACAGCCCACUGUGGGCGGCACUUAUCCCUUAGGCAGGGAGUCCUGAACUACAUGGGACAGGAGAAAGCUAGAGAAAGCAAGCGGGCAGCACAAGGACAUUUGCUCUCUCUGACAUUAACUUUGUAUGUGUGGAUAGCUGUUUUAAAUCCCUGUCUUGAUUUCUCCUCAGUAAAGAAAGGCAGCCUGGAACUGAAAACAGAAAUGAACCCCUUCCCUCCCCCAAGGUACAUUUGGUCAGGAUAAUUCAUCACAGCAAUGGGCAUGAAACUAUAAGAGCUGCUUGAUUCUUUGCUCCUGCUGCUUUUUUAAAAAGUUUUAUACUAGUGCAUAUUUAUUCCACAUGACAAGAGGAUUCAUGAUGACAUUCCGUGCAUGUAUGUUGCAUCAUCCUGGUUGUUUUCAGCAUCACACCAAGUCCUUUCAAACAGCGGAACAGAUCUCUGGCCCUGUCUCAAUGAAUGGGGACUUCGGGACACUUCUUGGGCCAAAUUACCACUCAUCCCAUGGACUCUAGCUCCCUGUUUCUAUAGCCUUUUCUCUAGAAGAAGAUCUCAGCCAUACUGGGAUGCUGAUGAUAAUUGAAAUUCAGAAGAAGUCAUGAAUCAAAGCAACAUGUAGCCAUUGCCUUGAGCUGGUAUAAUCUAAACCCAAACCCUGUCUGGUCAUAUCUCAGCCCCCUUGACCCUUCGUGCUACAGGUGAUCUGAAUGAAACUCUCCUGUCUUCCCAGAAGGAUAACAGCGAAGGGUAAAACAAUUGAACACUUUCUAGAGGCUUCUGGCCUUAGAGCUUCCUGGAAGUCCCAGUGAAGGUAGAAUGGUUUUCGUAACUGUUGCAGUUGGUCUGCUUGCUGUCUUACCCUCAGGCCAUGGUUACAUGUAGUUUUCCUGUGGUAGUUUGUAAUUGGCACCCGUAGGCCCAUAGGGAAUGAUACUAUUAGGAGGUGUGGCCUUGUUGGAGUGGGUGUGGCUUUGUUGGGUGGGUGUGGCCUCGUUGGAGAGUAAGUGUGUCACUGUAGAGGUCGGCUUUGGGGUCUUACAUAUGCUCAAGCCAUAGCCAGUGGAGCAGUCUCCUGCUGCCUUCGGAUCAUGGCGUAGAACUCUCAGCUCCUCCUGCAUCAUGUUUGCCUGCAUGCCACCAUGCUUCCCACAGUGACGAUAAUGGACUGAGUUUCUAACAUUGUAAGCCAGCCCCAAUUACAUGUCCUUUAUAAGAGUUACCUUGGUCAUGGUGUGUCUUCACAGCCAUGGAAACCCUAAGACAUUUACCAAUUCAGUCUAUUUUCAUAAGGAAGAUAUGUUUUUUGCAGUUACAUUUUUUAAAAGCGUUAACGUGACCAGUAGUUGUUUUUUUUUUCCCCCUCAUGAACCAUAAUUCAUGAGUAAGACGGCCCCACCAGGGCAUUCAACUGAGGGGAUGCUUCUAAGAGCAAUGUCACAGGCUCACAGGCACAGCUCCAAGCCAUGUAACGCUCACCCAGAUGGUCGUUUCUACACGUGGAAUCACACGUGGACUCAGAAUCACAUGUUCCGGUGAAAGCAUGGCUGCAGCUGUGCAACGGCCUCUCCUCUCAGGUGAGUGUGUUACAGGGAGUCGGAGGCCGGGGACUCGCUCCAUUGAAAUCUGAUCCCUUCAGGUCCAGCCUUGUCCCUAAACAUCCAACCCAAGCAAACACCUGUGGGCAUUUCUCUUCUACGCUGGCAAAUCCAAGGUUCCAGCAUAGAGGACAGACAGCUCGUAAAUUCAGGUAUAUGUGUGUUAUGUGUCGACAUACACAUUUUAUUUUUAAAAAAAAGAUUUAAUAUUUUUGAUUUUGUGUAUGCCAGAGGAUGAGGAGAACGGGAAGGUGCUUCGGGAAACCAGAGAUGUCUGAUUCCCCUGGAACUGGAGUUGUGGCCUGUCGUGAGCCACCGAUCCUGAGUGCAAGGGGCCAAACUCAGACCCUCUCCAAUGAGCAGUUCUCACAGUGUAACCUCCGGGUCACCUUUCCAGCCCCAACAUUUUAUUUUCCAUAAGGUUAUUUACUGAGUUACAGUCUUCACCUCUGUUUUCCAGCGAGCCUUUAGAUACUUCAAGAUAUGUCAGGUCUUUUUUCCCCUGCUGUCCCCACUUGAGAUUGCUCACAAACCACAGAACGUUACACACAAGAAUCCUUCAGCAUCUGCAAGGGGAUCCCGAGAUAUGUGGCUGUUCAGGUCGCUUGUACAGAAUGGCACAGUAUAUACAAAGAACCUGUGGACAUUGUCCUGCAUACUCAAAGGCCUGCCUAGAACUUUUCUUCAGUUGUUUUAGAUACUGCUUGCUGUUAAGCACUGCUCCCGGUUGUCAGCUCCAAUUCCUCAGAACAAGACAGUACGCAGGCGCAGGCGUAGGUGUUCGGCCACGCCUUUCCAACCUUUGUGUCUGUCUCCACAGCCAUGGAAGAUGCAGACACCUACAUUCUCUGGAAGCUUUCCCUGACAAGGCAGCCACUCGCUGCUUUAUAAAACCCGUAGGGAAACGCC